rnacentral:lncRNA from 1 species
UGACUGAAUAUACUCUUUUAUAGAAUGUGUAGUUGGUAUAAAUAUUUUCCCGUUGUGUUGGUUGCUUCUUUUGUCUGAAUGACAGUGUUCUUUGCCAUGCAGAAGUUCCCAGUUUCAUGAGGUCCCCUUUAUUUUUUAUUAUUCAUUUUAUUCAUUUACAUUUCAAAUUAAUUUCCCAAUUUCCCUUCCUCUAUCCCCCCAUCCAUCCCCCUCCCCUUUGCCUCUAUGAGGGUGCUCCUCCACUCAUUCACCCAUCCUCACCUCGCCACUUUAGCAUCCCCCUACAACAGGGCAUCAAGCCUCCAUAGGACUAAGAUCCUCCCCUCACAUUGAUGCCAGAUAAGGCCAUCCUAUGCUACACAUGUAGCUGGAGCCAUGGAUCCCUCCAUGUAUAUUCUUUGGUUGGUGGUUUAGUCCCUGGGAGCUCUGGGUGGUCCAGUUAGUUGAUAUUGUUCUUCCUGUGGGAGUUUAAUCCCCUUCAGCUCCUUCGUUUCUUCCCCUCCAUUGUGGUCCUCAGGCUCAGUCCAAUGGUUGGUUGUGAGUAUUUGUGUUUGCAUUAGUCAGGUGUGCCAGAGCCUGUCAGAGGACAGCCAUACCAGGCUGUCAUACUUGCCAGCAAAUGCUUCUUGGCAUCAACAAUAGUGUCCAGACUUGGUGUCUGCAGAUGGGAGGUCCCCUUUAUUAAUUGUUGAUUUUAGUGACUGUGGUAAUGGUACUCUGUUCAGAAAUUCUUUUCCUGUGCCAAGGAUCUCAAGGUUAUUUCAAGGUUGUCUUCUACUAUGUUAAGGGUGUGUGCCAUUUGAACUUGAGUUUUGUGCAGGUUGAUAAGCAUGGAUCUAUCUGGAUUCUUCUAUACAGCAUUCCAAUUUGUCUGACACAAUUUGGAAGAUGCUGUCUUUUUCCCAAUGUGCAUUUCUGACUUCUGAUUUCAAAAAUCACGUGUAAGUGGAUUUUGCAUUGUCAAUUUGUUUACAUUGAUGAACAUGUCUGUUUUUGUGCAUAUACCAUUCUGUUUUAGUUACUACAUCUAAUAUAUCUACAUUAUAAUAUAUCAUAGGGACCCUCACUUACUGAUAGGGGAGGUUUCAAUAGCCAUAGGUCUUCUAAACAACAACUAAACAGAUAAAUAUGGGAACUAACUGAAAUUAUAAACCAAAUGUACCUAACAAACAUUUAUAGAACAUUUAACCCAAACACAAAAUAAUAUAACUUCUUUUGAAAAUAUCAUGGGACUUUUUCAAAAACUGACCACAUGCCCAAACAUAAGGAACUCUUGACAAAUACAAGACAAAGUAACAGCAUGGAUCCUAUCUGACCACCCGUGUAUUAAAACUGUAUAUCAAUAAAGACAGAAACAAUCGACAACUUAAAGCUCACGAAAUACUGAACAAAUCUCUACAAAAUAAAAAAUGACUCAUAACAGAAAUUAAGAAAUAAACAGGCUUUCUAAAAUUGAAUGAAAAUGAAUACACAGCAUAUUCAAACUUUAAAAUCCAUGAAGUCGGUGUCAAGAGGUAAGUUCAUAGCACUAAGUGCCU